AUUGAACGCUGGCGGCAGGCCUAACACAUGCAAGUCGAACGGUAACAGGAAACAGCUUGCUGUUUCGCUGACGAGUGGCGGACGGGUGAGUAAUGUCUGGGAAACUGCCUGAUGGAGGGGGAUAACUACUGGAAACGGUAGCUAAUACCGCAUAACGUCGCAAGACCAAAGAGGGGGACCCUCGGGCCUCUUGCCAUCGGAUGUGCCCAGAUGGGAUUAGCUUGUUGGUGGGGUAACGGCUCACCAAGGCGACGAUCCCUAGCUGGUCUGAGAGGAUGACCAGCCACCCUGGAACUGAGACACGGUCCAGACUCCUACGGGAGGCAGCAGUGGGGAAUAUUGCACAAUGGGCGCAAGCCUGAUGCAGCCAUGCCGCGUGUAUGAAGAAGGCCUUCGGGUUGUAAAGUACUUUCAGCGGGGAGGAAGGGAGUAAAGUUAAUACCUUUGCUCAUUGACGUUAACCGCAGAAGAAGCACCGGCUAACUACGUG
rnacentral:rRNA from 1 species